rnacentral:rRNA from 1 species
UCCCUAAAUCUUACUUAAGUGGAAAACGAUGUGAAGUUACUUAAACAACCAGGAGGUUGGCUUAGAAGCAGCCAUCCUUUAAAGAAAGCGUAAUAGCUCACUGGUCUAGUGAUUUUGCGCGGAAAAUAUAACGGGGCUAAAGUAAGUACCGAAGCUGUAGACUUGCGCACAACUUAGAUUAUUUAAGUUUAGAAUAUGAGAAACUAAGUUAUAUGUUUAGUUAUAUUUUUACUGAUUUUUAUAGAGUAAAGAUAGAAAUAAAACUUAGUAAAAUCAGUAAAAAUAUUCUUAGACUAAAGUUAAGUAGUUUAAGUUGUGUGCAAGUGGUAGGAGAGCGUUCUAUUUGCGUCGAAGGUAUACCGGUAAGGAGUGCUGGAGCGAAUAGAAGUGAGCAUGCAGGCAUGAGUAGCGAUAAUUAAUGUGAGAAUCAUUAACGCCGUAAACCCAAGGUUUCCUACGCGAUGCUCGUCAUCGUAGGGUUAGUCGGGUCCUAAGUCGAGUCCGAAAGGGGUAGACGAUGGCAAAUUGGUUAAUAUUCCAAUACCAACAUUAGUGUGCGAUGGAAGGACGCUUAGGGCUAAGGGGGCUAGCGGAUGGAAGUGCUAGUCUAAGGUCGUAGGAGGUUAUACAGGCAAAUCCGUAUAACAAUACUCCGAGAACUGAAAGGCUUUUUGAAGUCUUCGGAUGGAUAGAAGAACCCCUGAUGCCGUCGAGCCAAGAAAAGUUUCUAAGUUUAGCUAAUGUUGCCCGUACCGUAAACCGACACAGGUGGGUGGGAUGAGUAUUCUAAGGCGCGUGGAAGAACUCUCUUUAAGGAACUCUGCAAAAUAGCACCGUAUCUUCGGUAUAAGGUGUGGUUCGCUUCGUAUUAGGAUUUACUCCGAAAGCGAAGAAACUUACAACAAAGAGUCCCUCCCGACUGUUUACCAAAAACACAGCACUCUGCUAACUCGUAAGAGGAUGUAUAGGGUGUGACGCCUGCCCGGUGCUCGAAGGUUAAUUGAUGGGGUUAGCAUUAGCGAAGCUCUUGAUCGAAGCCCGAGUAAACGGCGGCCGUAACUAUAACGGUCCUAAGGUAGCGAAAUUCCUUGUCGGUUAAAUACCGACCUGCAUGAAUGGCGUAACGAGAUGGGAGCUGUCUCAAAGAGGGAUCCAGUGAAAUUGUAGUGGAGGUGAAAAUUCCUCCUACCCGCGGCAAGACGGAAAGACCCCGUGGACCUUUACUACAGCUUGACACUGCUACUUGGAUAAGAAUGUGCAGGAUAGGUGGGAGGCUUUGAGUAUAUGACGCCAGUUGUAUAUGAGCCAUUGUUGAGAUACCACUCUUUCUUAUUUGGGUAGCUAACCAGCUUGAGUUAUCCUCAAGUGGGACAAUGUCUGGUGGGUAGUUUGACUGGGGCGGUCGCCUCCCAAAUAAUAACGGAGGCUUACAAAGGUUGGCUCAGAACGGUUGGAAAUCGUUCGUAGAGUAUAAAGGUAUAAGCCAGCUUAACUGCAAGACAUACAAGUCAAGCAGAGACGAAAGUCGGUCUUAGUGAUCCGGUGGUUCUGUGUGGAAGGGCCAUCGCUCAAAGGAUAAAAGGUACCCCGGGGAUAACAGGCUGAUCUCCCCCAAGAGCUCACAUCGACGGGGAGGUUUGGCACCUCGAUGUCGGCUCAUCGCAUCCUGGGGCUGGAGCAGGUCCCAAGGGUAUGGCUGUUCGCCAUUUAAAGCGGUACGCGAGCUGGGUUCAGAACGUCGUGAGACAGUUCGGUCCCUAUCUGCCGUGGGCGUAAGAAGAUUGAAGAGAUUUGACCCUAGUACGAGAGGACCGGGUUGAACAAACCACUGGUGUAGCUGUUGUUCUGCCAAGAGCAUCGCAGCGUAGCUAAGUUUGGAAAGGAUAAACGCUGAAAGCAUCUAAGCGUGAAGCCAACUCUAAGAUGAAUCUUCUCUAAGCUCUCUAGAAGACUACUAGUUUGAUAGGCUGGGUGUGUAAUGGAUGAAAGUCCUUUAGCUGACCAGUACUAAUAGAGCGUUUGGCUUAUCUUUAAUAAAGCAU